rnacentral:rRNA from 1 species
UGGGGGAUAUUGCACAAUGGGGGAAACCCUGAUGCAGCGACGCCGCGUGAGUGAAGACGGUCUUCGGAUUGUAAAGCUCUGUUGGAGAGGACGAUAAUGACGGUACUCUCCGAGGAAGCCACGGCUAACUACGUGCCAGCAGCCGCGGUAAUACGUAGGUGGCGAGCGUUGUCCGGAAUUACUGGGUGUAAAGGGAGCGUAGGCGGGUGUGUAAGUUGGAUGUGAAAUACCGCAGCUUAACUGCGGGGCUGCAUCCAAAACUGCAUAUCUUGAGUGAAGUAGAGGCAGGCGGAAUUCCUAGUGUAGCGGUGAAAUGCGUAGAUAUUAGGAGGAACACCAGUGGCGAAGGCGGCCUGCUGGGCUUUAACUGACGCUGAGGCUCGAAAGCGUGGGGAGCAAACA